CAUAAAUAAAGAAAUUAUAAUGUAUUAUCAUAUAAUUAUCUUGUCCAGCAAUAGCUUGCUUCUUUCUCGACCUGUUCGGAUCCAGGGAGGCAAUGUACUGAGGAUAGUUCCUCUUUCAGUGCCUCUACUUCUUGCAAUAGAAGCAUUCCUCCUGACUCUGAUCGGACUUAGAUUUCUUGAUCUGAUUGGGCUUGCAUGCCCUAGCACUUUGCAUUUUCUUUUUAUUCUUCUUGUUCUUCUUCCCUUUCUUAAAGGA
rnacentral:lncRNA from 1 species